UUCUAGCCCCGAUUGCAAUGAAAAUCCUUUUACGGAACGAUGUGGAGUAAAAGAUUGUAGUGGAAAGCGGGAACAAUC
rnacentral:sRNA from 1 species